rfam:Heligmosomoides polygyrus genome assembly, scaffold: HPBE_scaffold0000074
GCAUCGGUGGUUCAGUGGUAGAAAUCUUGCCUUCCACACGGGCGGCCCGAGUUCCAUUCCCGGCCAAUGCA